rnacentral:ncRNA from 1 species
ACAUUCGCGCAGAAUUUUGGUUCUGAUACUCCUUGAUCAAGGGAGUUGAAGAUUAAAAGGGAAUCAGGUACAAUGAAAAAUGAAGGUAGAGAUAUGAAUAGCGAUUUUUUAAUUUUUAAUCGUAUUUCUAACAUCUGGCAUCGUAAAUCAAUAUUCCUGAGCUGUUCCCGCAACUGUAUGCUGUGUCCACAUUAAAAAAGGAUGCUUGUUGUUAAUUCUUUAUAACCACUGCUCGUUAUGGCGAUCGGGAAGGUAAACAACAAGACGCGAGCCAGGAGACCUGCCAUUAUUCGAUAUAAUCA